AGAGUUUGAUCCUGGCUCAGGACGAACGCCGGCGGCGUGCUUAACACAUGCAAGUCGAACGGUGAACCUGCUUCGGUGGGGGAUCAGUGGCGAACGGGUGAGUAACACGUGGGCAACCUGCCCCUGGCUCUGGGAUAACUCCAAGAAAUUGGGGCUAAUACCGGAUAUGACCGCUGACCGCAUGGUCUGGUGGUGGAAAGAUUUAUCGGCUGGGGAUGGGCCCGCGGCCUAUCAGCUUGUUGGUGGGGUAGUGGCCUACCAAGGCGACGACGGGUAGCCGGCCUGAGAGGGUGACCGGCCACACUGGGACUGAGACACGGCCCAGACUCCUACGGGAGGCAGCAGUGGGGAAUAUUGCGCAAUGGGCGAAAGCCUGACGCAGCGACGCCGCGUGGGGGAUGACGGCCUUCGGGUUGUAAACCUCUUUCAGCAGGGACGAAGCGGAAGUGACGGUACCUGCAGAAGAAGCACCGGCCAACUACGUGCCAGCAGCCGCGGUAAUACGUAGGGUGCAAGCGUUGUCCGGAAUUAUUGGGCGUAAAGAGCUCGUAGGCGGUUCGUCGCGUCGGCUGUGAAAUCCCGAGGCUCAACCUCGGGUCUGCAGUCGAUACGGGCGGACUUGAGUUCGGCAGGGGAGACUGGAAUUCCUGGUGUAGCGGUGAAAUGCGCAGAUAUCAGGAGGAACACCGGUGGCGAAGGCGGGUCUCUGGGCCGAUACUGACGCUGAGGAGCGAAAGCGUGGGGAGCAAACAGGAUUAGAUACCCUAGUAGUCC
rnacentral:rRNA from 1 species